rnacentral:rRNA from 1 species
AGAAUCAACGCUGGCGGCGUGCCUAACACAUGCAAGUCGCACGAGAAAGGGUAGCAAUACCUGAGUACAGUGGCGCACGGGUGAGUAACACGUGAAUAAUCUACCUCCGAGUGGGGAAUAACUGAGAGAAAUCUUAGCUAAUACCGCAUAAUACCCACGGGUCAAAGCAGCAAUGCGCUUGGAGAGGAGUUCGCGGCAGAUUAGUUAGUUGGCGGGGUAAUGGCCCACCAAGACGAUGAUCUGUAUCCGGCCUGAGAGGGCGCACGGACACACUGGAACUGAAACACGGUCCAGACUCCUACGGGAGGCAGCAGUGGGGAAUUUUGCGCAAUGGGGGAAACCCUGGCGCAGCAACGCCGCGUGGAGGAUGAAGCCCCUUGGGGUGUAAACUCCUUUCGAUCGGGAAGAUAAUGACGGUACCGAUAUAAGAAGCCCCGGCUAACGUUCGUGCCAGCAGCCGC